GACGAACCGUGCGAACGUUAUUCGGAAUCACUGGGCUUGAAGCGCGUGUAGGCGGGCGGGAGCGUCGGACUCUGAAAGCCCCCGGCUCAACCGGGGAAGGGGGGCCGAAACGACCCGUCUGGAGGGGCGUAGGGGGACCUGGAACUUCCGGUGGAGCGGUGAAAUGCGUUGAGAUCGGAAGGAACGCCCGUGGCGAAAGCGAGGUCCUGGACGCCUACUGACGCUGAGACGCGAAAGCCAGGGGAGCGAACGGGAUUAGAUACCCCGGUAGUCCUGGCCGUAAACGAUGGGCACUGGGUAGGGGGCUCGCCGAUGGGCUCCCUGCCGUAGCGAAAGCGUGAAGUGCCCCGCCUGGGGAGUAUGGUCGCAAGGCUGAA
rnacentral:rRNA from 1 species